rnacentral:misc_RNA from 1 species
CGAGCGUCAUUUCACCACUCAAGCCUCGCUUGGUAUUGGGCAACGCGGUCCGCCGCGUGCCUCAAAUCGUCCGGCUGGGUCUUCUGUCCCCUAAGCGUUGUGGAAACUAUUCGCUAAAGGGUGUUCGGGAGGCUACGCCGUAAAACAACCCCAUUUCUAAGGUUGACCUCGGAUCAGGUAGGGAUACCCGCUGAACUUAA